rnacentral:rRNA from 1 species
UGGGGAAUAUUGCACAAUGGGCGCAAGCCUGAUGCAGCCAUGCCGCGUGUAUGAAGAAGGCCUUCGGGUUGUAAAGUACUUUCAGCGGGGAGGAAGGGAGUAAAGUUAAUACCUUUGCUCAUUGACGUUACCCGCAGAAGAAGCACCGGCUAACUCCGUGCCAGCAGCCGCGGUAAUACGGAGGGUGCAAGCGUUAAUCGGAAUUACUGGGCGUAACGCGCACGCAGGCGGUUUGUUAAGUCAGAUGUGAAAUCCCCGGGCUCAACCUGGGAACUGCAUCUGAUACUGGCAAGCUUGAGUCUCGUAGAGGGGGGUAGAAUUCCAGGUGUAGCGGUGAAAUGCGUAGAGAUCUGAAGGAAUACCGGUGGCGAAGGCGGCCCCCUGGACGAAGACUGACGCUCAGGUGCGAAAGCGUGGGGAGCAAACAGG